GCGACAGUGACGUUCUGUUCAACCUGUCUUUUCUUGUUUAUUUUUGAUUAUUGGCUUAUAUUGAUUUAGUUAGACUUGUUUUGUUUUAUGGUUUAAAAAUAAUGUCCGAUAUACGACAGUGGAACAGAGACUUUGUACUAGAGUUUAUAGAACUUUAUCGGUCAUUUCCUUGCGUGUGGAAAGUUAAAUCGACAGAAUACCAUUAUCGAAUAAAAAAAAAUAAGGCUUAUGAAGCAUUGCUAAUGAAAUACAAAGAAGUGGAUGCUGAAGCAACAGUAAAAUCAGUAAAACAAAAAAUUGUUUCCUUGCGGGGCGCGUUUCGAAAGGAAUUAAAGAAGGUAAAAGACUCCUUGAAUCUGGUGCUGGCUCAGAGGAUACAUACAAACCACACUUUUAGUACUACGACAACUUGAUAUUUUUGACUGAUCACGAGACGACUAGAAGAGGUGUUGGAAAUAUAGAAGACGAAGAUGCACAUGAAAGUAAUUCUGAGAUUGAAACAGUUACAGAGGCACAAUCUCCAGCCGAAAUACUUGAAGAUGAGGUCAGUGACACAGCACUACCCCAAAUAUAUAGAAGUAGGAUGUCAAGUUUGGCCUCAACUUCUAGUAGAGAUGCCCAGACAUCAUCAUCAUCAUUUCGAUCUAAAUUAUCUAAAAGAUCUAGGGCGGAUGAUAUUUUAAAUAAAGUGGACAAACGUUUAGAUCAAAGCGAUGACCAAUUGGACAUUAUCGGUAAAAACAUUGCCCACAAACUAAGAAAAUUACCGCCAGAAGUAGCCCUGGUUACCGAGAAAAUGAUAAACGAC